UGGUGGGGUAAAGGCCUACCAAGGCGACGAUGAGUAGCCGACCUGAGAGGGUGACCGGCCACACUGGGACUGAGAGACGGCCCAGACUCCUACGGGAGGCAGCAGUAGGGAAUCUUCGGCAAUGGACGGAAGUCUGACCGAGCGAUGCCGCGUGAGCGAAGAAGGUCUUCGGAUUGUAAAGCCCUGUGAUUAGGGAAGAAGGCUAUUAGGAGGGAAUGCCUAAUAGGUGACGGUACCUAAUUAGAAAGCCACGGCUAACUACGUGCCAGCAGCCGCGGUAAUACGUAGGUGGCGAGCGUUGUCCGGAAUUACUGGGCGUAAAGGGUGCGUAGGCGGUCCAUUAAGUCUGAUUUGAAAUACCAUGGCUCAACCAUGGGGGUGGAUUGGAAACUGGUGGACUUGAGCGUAGGAGAGGAAGGUGGAAUUCCAUGUGUAGCGGUGAAAUGCGUAGAUAUCGGGAGGAACACCAGUGGCGAAGGCGGCUUCCUGGAUUGCACCUGACGCUGAGGCGCGAAAGCUGGGGGAGCGAACGGGAUUAGAUACCCCGGUAGUCCCAGCCGUAAACGAUGGAUGCUAGGUGUAGGAGGUAUCGACCCCUCCUGUGCCGCAGUUAACGCAUUAAGCAUCCCGCCUGGGGAGUACGGUCGCAAGGCUGAAACUCAAAUGAAUUGACGG
rnacentral:rRNA from 1 species